rnacentral:lncRNA from 1 species
AGAGAGUGUGGUUGGCCCAGACUGGCCGGGGAGUCAUCUCUUCGUGCCAUAGGCUUGUCCAGCCAGGAGAGAAAUUUCCUGCCUAGAAAGAAACCAUAAGGGAAAACUCUAGACGUGUGUCUGUAUGAAUCCGGACCUAUCUUCAGACAAUGGACUUUAGAAUCUUUGCGGGAAGGACAUAAAUUCCCCAGGUGUAUAGAAUCUCGUAACCAUGAAGCAUGACUGUCACAGGCUCACAUC